ensembl:lncRNA
CCCUCCUCAACCCAACCCCAACAGCCCUCAUUAUCAGCAACCUCUACAUCAUCGUCCUCAUCAUUACCAUCAUCAGGAAACUCGCAGCCUUCAUCAGCAUCCCCAUCACUAUCAUUAUCAUCAAACUCACCAGCACAGCCCUCAAUAUCAAAAACCUCUAUAUUAUCCUCCACAUCUUUAUCAUCAUCAGCAAACUUGCAGCAUUCAUCACCAUCCCCACCAACAUUAACAUCUUUAACAUCAUCUUCAGUACUAUCAUUUACACCAUUCUCACCAUCAUCUGAACCAUCUUUAUCAGUCCCACCAUCAUCAUCAUCUACACUAUCUUCAUCAUCUUCAUCAUCUUCACCAUCUUCGUCAAUACCACUAUCAUCAUCAACCCCACCAUCACAGCCCUCAUUUUCAGGAACAACUACAUUAUCUUUCACAACCCUACCAUUAUCAACAAGCUCCCAGCCUAACUCACCAUCCCCACUAUCUUCAUCACCACCAUUAACAUCAGCAUCAAUAAUACAUUCAACACUAUCAUCUACACCGUCAUCAUCACUGUCACCAUCAUCUUCAGCACCACUAUCAUUGCCAUCAUCAUCAACCCUUCCAGCGCAGCCCUCACUAUCAACAACCUCUGCAGCAUUUUUCUCAUCCUUAUCAUCUUCAGCUAACUCACAAGCUUCAUCACCAGAAUUAAAACCAUCAUCAACUGCAUCUUUAAUACACUCAACAAAACAAUCCUCAUCAUCUUCAUCAUCCUCAUCAAUCCCACUAUUGUCAUCAUCUUUAACAGUAUCAUCUGCAUCAUCUACAUCACCAAUAUUAUCAUCAUCAUCAUCGAAAACAUCUUCCAUACCUUUAUCCACACCAUCCUCAUCAGUCCCACUAUCAUCAUCAACCUCACAAGCAAAGCCCUCAAUAUCAUCAACCUCUACAUUAUCUUCCACAUCCUUGAAAAUCAUCAGCAAACUCACAGCCUUCAUCACCAUCCCCACCAACAUUAACAUCAUCAAACAUCUUCAAUACUAUCAUUUACACCAUCAUCAUUUUCAACAUCUUUAUCAGUCCCACUAUUGUCAACAUCAUCAUCUUCAACACUAUCAUCUACACCAUCUUCACCAACAUUACCAUCACCUUUAACAUCAACACCGCCAUCUUCAAUACUUUCAACUACUCCAUAUUCAUCAUCCUCAGCCUCAUCUUCAUCAGUCUCACUAUCAUCAUCAACCCAGCCAAAACAGCCUUCAACAUCAGUAACCUCUACAUCAUUGUCCUCAUCAUUAACGUCAUCAACAAAUUCACAGCGAUCAUCGUCAUCCCCACCAUCUUCACCACCAACAUUAACAUCUUCAAAAAUAUCAUCUAUACCAUCUUCAUCGUCUCUGCCAUCUUCAUUACCAUCUUCAUCAGUCCCACUAUUGUCAACAUUAUCAUUGCCAUCAUCAACAUUGUUAUUUACACCAUCUUCAUCAUAUUCUCAAUCUCCAUUAUCAACAUCUUCAAUAUCAUCUACACUACCUUCACCAUCUUCAUCAAUCCCAUUAUCACCAUCAACCUCACCAGCACAGCCCUCAAUAUCAACAACCUCUACAAUAUCUUCCACAUCCUUACUAUCAUCAGUAAAUUUGCAGCCUUCAUCAACAUCCCCAUCAUCUUCAUCACUAUCAUUAGCAUCAUUAACAUCUUCAAUAGUAUCAUUUACACCAUCAUCUUUACCAUCCUCGGCACCAUCUUCAUCAGUCCCACUAUUGAAAACAUCAGCAUCAUCUUCUACACUAUCAUUUACACCAUCUUCACCAACAUCACCAUCACAUUUAUCAUCAACACCACCAGCCUCAUCUUCAUCAGUCCCACUAUCAUCAUCAUCCUCAACCCAACCCCAACAGCCCCUCAUUAUCAGCAACCUCUACAUCAUCCUCCACAUCUUUAUCAUCAUCAGCAAACUUGCAGCAUUCAUCACCAUCCCCACCAACAUUAACAUCUUUAACAUCAUCUUCAGUACUAUCAUUUACACCAUUCUCACCAUCAUCUGAACCAUCUUUAUCAGUCCCACCAUCAUCAUCAUCUACACUAUCUUCAUCAUCUUCACCAUCUUCGUCAAUACCACUAUCAUCAUCAACCCCACCAUCACAGCCCUCAUUUUCAGGAACAACUACAUUAUCUUUCACAACCCUACCAUUAUCAACAAGCUCCCAGCCUAACUCACCAUCCCCACUAUCUUCAUCACCACCAUUAACAUCAGCAUCAAUAAUACAUUCAACACUAUCAUCUACAUCAUCAUCAUGUCACCAUCAUCUUCAGCACCACUAUCAUUGCCAUCAUCAUCAACCCUUCCAGCGCAGCCCUCACUAUCAACAACCUCUGCAGCAUUUUUCUCAUCCUUAUCAUCUUCAGCUAACUCACAAGCUUCAUCACCAGAAUUAAAACCAUCAUCAACUGCAUCUUUAAUACACUCAACAAAACAAUCCUCAUCAUCUUCAUCAUCCUCAUCAAUCCCACUAUUGUCAUCAUCUUUAACAGUAUCAUCUGCAUCAUCUACAUCACCAAUAUUAUCAUCAUCAUCUUCGAAAACAUCUUCCAUACUAUUAUCCACACCAUCCUCAUCAGUCCCACUAUCAUCAUCAACCUCACAAGCAAAGCCCUCAAUAUCAACAACCUCAACAUUAUCUUCCACAUCCUUAAAAUCAUCAGCAAACUCACAGCCUUCAUCACCAUCCCCACCAACAUUAACAUCAUCAACAACAUCUUCAAUACUAUCAUUUACUCCAUCAUCAUUUUCAACAUCUUUAUCAGUCCAACUAUUGUCAACAACAUCAUCUUCAACACUAUCAUCUACACCAUCUUCAUCAUCUUCACAAUCUUCAUCAUUAACAUUACCAUCAUCUUCAUCCACAUCCUCAAUACUAUCAUCUACACUAUCUUCAUCAUCUUCAUCAAUCCCACUAUCAUCGUCAACCUCUACCAGCACAGUCCUUACUAUCAACACCUACAUUAUCUUCCACAUCAUUACCAUCAUCAGUAAACUCGCAGCCUUCAUCACCAUCCCCAUCAUCUUCAUCACCAACAUUAACAUCAACAUCUUCAAUACUAUCAUUUACACCAUCAUUUUCAACAUCUUUAUCAGUCCCAUUAUUGUCAACAUCAUCAUCUUCAACACUAUCAUCUACACCAUCUUCACCAACAUUACCAUCACCUUUAUCAUCAACACUGCCAUCUUCAAUACUAUCAACUACUCCAUAUUCAUCAUCCUCAGCCUCAUCUUCAUCAGUCUCACUAUCAUCAUCAACCCAGCCAAAACAACCUUUAACAUCAGCAACCUCUACAUCAUUUUCCUCAUCAACAUCAUCAGCAAUCUCACAGCAUUCAUCACCAUCCCUACCUUCUUCAACAACACAGCUAUCAUCAUCAUCUUUAAUACUAUCACCUACACAAAACUCGUCAUCUUCAACAUCCUCAGCAGCAACUUCAUCAGUCCCACACUGUCAUAUCAUCUUCUGCAACAUUAUCAUCUAGACCUUCUUCAUCACCAACAUUACAAUCACCUUUAUCAUCAACACCACCAUCUUCAAUACUAUCAACUUCUCCAUCUUCAUCAUCCUCAAUCUCAUCCUCAUCAGUCCCACUAUCAUCGUCAACCCAAUUAAAACAGACCCUCAUCAUCAGUAACCUCUACAUCAUUGUCCUCAUCAUUACCAUCAUCAGCAAAUUCACAGCGCUCAUCAUCAUCCCCACCAUCUUCACCAACAACGUUAACAUCAUCAUCAACAAUAACAUCUUCAAUUCUAUCAACAACAGAAUCCUCAUCCUCUUCACCAUCCUCAACGUUAUACUCAUCAUUCCCACUAUUUUCAUCAUCACCACCACCACAACCAUUUUCAUCAUACUUCUCUUCUUCAAGUUCACCUCAUCAAUUCUCACCAUCUUCACCACUACCCUCAUCAUCUUCAACAUCAACACCAGCAAUAAUUCCACCUACUUCAUCAUUACUAACAUUCACAUCACCUUCAUCAACACUGUCAUCAUCAGCAGCCUCAUCACCAAUGUCAACUUCAUCAUUUUCAACAACCUUAUUAUCAGCCUUUCCACAAUUUCCAACAUCUCAGCAAUCUUCAACACCAACCCCACCAUCAUCACAAACACCAUCCUCACCAACUUCAGCACCAUCACCAUCAUCAUCCUCACUUUCAGUAACACCAAUACAAACAUCAUCACUGACAACAGCACCAUCUUCAUUACCAAAUUCACCAUCCCCAACAUUGUCUUCAUCAAUAACCUCACCACCAUUAUUACCACCAUCAUCCUCUUUUUCUCCAGCAAUCUCUUUGACUUCAAUGACUACAUCAUCAUCUUCAUCAUCCUCAACAUCAUUACCAACCAUCCCAUUAUAUCAAUCAUCCUCACUGCUAUCACCACUGUCAUCAUCACCAAACUCUCCAUCAUUUAAACCAUCCUCACCAUCAACACCCUUUCUGGAUAAGAAGAAAGUGACCACAGGCCUGCGUGUGUAUGUGCACUCCAAGGCAAAUAUGCAAGCAACACUGAAGGCUGUGCAGGAUUUUCUUCUUCACAUGGAAUCCGUCAUGAGGAGACAACAAGCUGGAGACUACAGGCUACGAGUUUUACAUGGCACAGUUAUGAAAAAAUAAACGUGAAAUGACACCUCACUGAACAUGACAUCCACAGCACAAUAGCUGCUCUAUGUAAAUAUAAUUUUUCUGAAUAUUCUGUGUUUUACAGAAACCUCAUUUUCUGAGUAUGUUACUAAAUGGAAAUGUGCUUUUUCACUAGGUGGCACUACAGCAUAAAACAUAAGUAAAUAGCAUGUCACUGGAACAGAUGUAGGCUUUUUGUACAAACACUGUAUUUUGUCAAACAUUUCAUGGAUAAAAUCAGAUUAAAAAUGUCCAAGAAGGAUAAAAACAUAAUCAGACUUUACAGCACAUAUUCUCAAAAAUGUAUAGCUCGCACAAAUAUCGAUUUAAUUAUGCUGGUAAACCAUGUUAAUUGUUUUUGGGGGGUUUUUUGUCUUUACUUCCAAA